CUACGGGUCGCAGCAGUGAGGAAUAUUGUACAAUGGGGGGAACCCUGAUGCAGCAACGCCGCGUGGAGGAUGACGCAUUUCGGUGUGUAAACUCCUUUUAUAUGUCAAGAAAAUGACGGUAGCAUAUGAAUAAGCACCGGCUAACUCCGUGCCAGCAGCCGCGGUAAUACGGAGGGUGCAAGCGUUACUCGGAAUCACUGGGCGUAAAGGACGCGUAGGCGGGUUGGAAAGUCAGGUGUGAAAUCCUACAGCUUAACUGUAGAACUGCACUUGAAACUUCUAAUCUAGAGUAUGGGAGGGGGAGAUGGAAUUAGUGGUGUAGGGGUAAAAUCCGUAGAUAUCACUAGGAAUACCUAAAGCGAAGGCGAUCUCCAGGAACAUUACUGACGCUAAGGCGUGAAAGCGUGGGGAGCAAACAGGAUUAGAUACCCGGGUAGUC
rnacentral:rRNA from 1 species